GAUGAAGAACGCAGCGAAAUGCGAUAAGUAAUGUGAAUUGCAGAAUUCAGUGAAUCAUCGAAUCUUUGAACGCACAUUGCGCCCCUUGGUAUUCCGAGGGGCAUGCCUGUUCGAGCGUCAUUAUAACCCUCAAGCUCAGCUUGGUGUUGGGGCCUGCUGCACUGGCAGCCCUUAAAAUCAGUGGCGGCGCCAUCUGGCUCUAAGCGUAGUAAUUCUUCUCGCUAUGGAGUCCUGGUGGAUGCUUGCCAUCAACCCCCAAUUUUUCUAUGGUUGACCUCGGAUCAGGUAGGGAUACCCGCUGAACUUAAGCAUAUCAAUAAGCGGGAGGA
rnacentral:misc_RNA from 1 species